rnacentral:rRNA from 1 species
GGGUUGUGAGGUUAAGCGACUAAGCGUACACGGUGGAUGCCCUGGCAGUCAGAGGCGAUGAAGGACGUGCUAAUCUGCGAUAAGCGUCGGUGAGGUGAUAUGAACCGUUAUAACCGGCGAUUUCCGAAUGGGGAAACCCAGUGUGUUUCGACACACUAUCAUUAACUGAAUCCAUAGGUUAAUGAGGCGAACCGGGGGAACUGAAACAUCUAAGUACCCCGAGGAAAAGAAAUCAACCGAGAUUCCCCCAGUAGCGGCGAGCGAACGGGGAGGAGCCCAGAGCCUGAAUCAGUGUGUGUGUUAGUGGAAGCGUCUGGAAAGGCGCGCGAUACAGGGUGACAGCCCCGUACACAAAAAUGCACAUAUUGUGAGCUCGAUGAGUAGGGCGGGACACGUGGUAUCCUGUCUGAAUAUGGGGGGACCAUCCUCCAAGGCUAAAUACUCCUGACUGACCGAUAGUGAACCAGUACCGUGAGGGAAAGGCGAAAAGAACCCCGGCGAGGGGAGUGAAAAAGAACCUGAAACCGUGUACGUACAAGCAGUGGGAGCCUCUUAAUGGGGUGACUGCGUACCUUUUGUAUAAUGGGUCAGCGACUUAUAUUCUGUAGCAAGGUUAACCGAAUAGGGGAGCCGAAGGGAAACCGAGUCUUAACUGGGCGUUAAGUUGCAGGGUAUAGACCCGAAACCCGGUGAUCUAGCCAUGGGCAGGUUGAAGGUUGGGUAACACUAACUGGAGGACCGAACCGACUAAUGUUGAAAAAUUAGCGGAUGACUUGUGGCUGGGGGUGAAAGGCCAAUCAAACCGGGAGAUAGCUGGUUCUCCCCGAAAGCUAUUUAGGUAGCGCCUCGUGAAUUCAUCUCCGGGGGUAGAGCACUGUUUCGGCAAGGGGGUCAUCCCGACUUACCAACCCGAUGCAAACUGCGAAUACCGGAGAAUGUUAUCACGGGAGACACACGGCGGGUGCUAACGUCCGUCGUGAAGAGGGAAACAACCCAGACCGCCAGCUAAGGUCCCAAAGUCAUGGUUAAGUGGGAAACGAUGUGGGAAGGCCCAGACAGCCAGGAUGUUGGCUUAGAAGCAGCCAUCAUUUAAAGAAAGCGUAAUAGCUCACUGGUCGAGUCGGCCUGCGCGGAAGAUGUAACGGGGCUAAACCAUGCACCGAAGCUGCGGCAGCGACGCUUAUGCGUUGUUGGGUAGGGGAGCGUUCUGUAAGCCUGCGAAGGUGUGCUGUGAGGCAUGCUGGAGGUAUCAGAAGUGCGAAUGCUGACAUAAGUAACGAUAAAGCGGGUGAAAAGCCCGCUCGCCGGAAGACCAAGGGUUCCUGUCCAACGUUAAUCGGGGCAGGGUGAGUCGACCCCUAAGGCGAGGCCGAAAGGCGUAGUCGAUGGGAAACAGGUUAAUAUUCCUGUACUUGGUGUUACUGCGAAGGGGGGACGGAGAAGGCUAUGUUGGCCGGGCGACGGUUGUCCCGGUUUAAGCGUGUAGGCUGGUUUUCCAGGCAAAUCCGGAAAAUCAAGGCUGAGGCGUGAUGACGAGGCACUACGGUGCUGAAGC